UACGCGGUAGGACAGUUCGAAAGUCCGUCGGGCUCACAAGCCGCUAGGGAGUGGUUCGAAUCCACCCUGCGCAACCA
rnacentral:tRNA from 1 species